UAGUGACAACUGUCGGGUCAGUGUGGUUCCUCUCCCUUUCUGGGGCUGCCUUACCCAGCCCCAAAGGAUCCCAGUCCCAGGGGCCUGAGGACUCUGAAAGGCUCUAUCUAACCCCUCUCCCCACCUGUGUUUCCUGGCUGGGCUUGCAUGACUCUAUGUUUAGAAGAACUAACGAGUUUAUUAGAGAAGGAAAGAUUCCACUGUGACCUUGAAUAAGACAGUUCACCUGUGCCUCAGUUUCCCUGACUUUCAUGUAAGGAUCACCACGAUUUCCUCUGACAAGUUCCCUAGAUGGCAGGGUGCUGAGCAGCAUCCCUUGCGUCGACCUCCCUGAUGCCAGUAGCACUCCUGAGCUGGGAUCAUCAAAAACUGUCUCCAGAUACCAGCAAUGUCCCCCAAGUGCAGGGCUGCCUAAUAACAUAUAGGUUGCCUGGUUAAAUUUGAAUUUCAGAUAAACACGUACUGUUUUUGUAUAAUUAUGUCC